rnacentral:rRNA from 1 species
GGACCCGCACAAGCAGCGGAGCAUGUGGUUUAAUUCGAAGCAACGCGAAGAACCUUACCAAGACUUGACAUCGUAUGACCGCCAUAGAGAUAUGGAAUUCUGUAGCAAUACAGACAUAUAGACAGGUGGUGCAUGGUUGUCGUCAGCUCGUGUCGUGAGAUGUUGGGUUAAGUCCCGCAACGAGCGCAACCCUUAUGGUUAGUUGCCAAUAUUAAGUUAGGAACUCUGACCAGACUGCCGUGGACAACACGGAGGAAGGUGGGGAUGACGUCAAAUCAUCAUGCCCCUUACGUCUUGGGCUACACACGUGCUACAAUGGCUACUACAAAGAGCAGCAAUGCAGUAAUGCGGAGCGAAUCUCAAAAGGUAGUCUCAGUUCAGAUUGUGGGCUGCAACCCGCCCACAUGAAGUAGGAGUUGCUAGUAAUCGCGAAUCAGAAUGUCGUGGUGAAUGCGUUCCCGGGUCUU